rnacentral:misc_RNA from 1 species
GUAAAAUUACUGCUCCGAAGAGAAACAGGUGACACAACUCCCUCUCCCUCUUGCCUUUCUCCCUCGUACCUCGUACUUCUCACUCCCGCACUGCAUACUAGUCUUCUGCUCUACGCCUCUUUCUCUCCUUCACAAAUCGUCCGCGAACGCCAUCGAGGUACUUCGUCCCUCUCUCCUCUGACACAUCAUCGAUCAAAAUAGUGGAGGCUUACGACACACAUACGUGAUCAUCAUCUCCGUUUUUUUUUAGUUGUUGUGAGUGCUCUUCCUUUGUGCGCUACCUCCAUUUAUCUCUCUAUCUCUCUCUGUGUUCCCUGCGCGUGUGUGUGUUGUGUUGUCCAAUCCUCCCUCUUUCCCUCCCUCCUUCCCCCCUCUCUCCGUCUGGCUCUCUUCCUCCACGUGCUGAAAGGCGCUGCUUGAAGGAUUUUUUUUGUGUGUGCUUGUUUGCGUUGUUGUUGCUGUUCGUUCGUGUGGCCGACCUUUGCCGUGCCGCCGUUCCUCCGUCGCUGCGAUUCACAUCGUUUUCACACACACACACUCACUCUCUCACUCUGCAGAAGCACCGAAGGAAACAUUUGCGGACAACGACCUACAUAGAGACCGAGGGAGAACGAGGGCGUGCAGAGCAGCCAAGCAUAGCUCACCUGCUGCACUUUUCAUUCUCUCGGCCCGUCGUUUGGUCCUCAUCAUCUGUGCGCGUCUUCUCCUUCAUCAGCACGGCUCGAAUUUCAGAGAGUUACAGAAACAGAACGACUGUACAAAGACAGAUACGCGGAAAACAAGUGCUCGGCUGCUACUCAUUUUUCGCCACUUACAGUCUUUUUCGCACUCUCGGGUUUCGCUUCUGCAUACGUGCACCCCUGCCUGUCUCUGUGCCUCUGCGCGGGUGCGCUCUCUCGUUUUUGCCGCUCUUUACCUUCUACUGUACAUAGGCGUCCUUUUUCCAAUUCACGUAGCAGUAGUGGCAGGCAAGCAGCGCAAGAAAAAAAAGAAGAUACACCACUGCGCACGCCCCCUUCUCUACCCCCACUUCUGGGUGCGUGUGUGUGUGCGUCUCACCCUCUCUUUAUUUUUUGUUUCUUCAUUCCCAGUCUUCUCUGUUUCUCCUUGUCGUUGUCUUGGCGCCUCUCCUUGUCUCACCUUCCCUCACCUUCCCUCACCUGUUGCUGUGGUCGCCCCCCUCACCCUUUCGCCGCGUCCUUCCAUCCAUCUCUUCUUGAAGUUUGUGCGCGUUGUUUUCUUUUUUUUUGUGUGUGCGCGUGCUGCCGCUGCUGCUCUUGUAGACCUUAGUACUCGUAGGGAGAAAGUUUUUGUAGUGUAGUUUCUCUGUCUUUGUCUGUAUAAGCGUGCCAAUCCUCCUCCUCCUCCUCCCCCUCUCACAACUCACUUUCCUCUGUCUACGGCUGAAGCAGCACCUCACCUUGUUUGCCAAAACAACAAACAAAAACGGAGUAGCGCGAGAGCGGUGUAGUGAGGGAGAUAGAAGGCUGCGCGUGUGCGUAUUUUGCUAGCCAGAACACCGUGAGCCCAGCUUGCGUACCGUAUUUUCGUACUCAGCGGCUCUUUUUUUCUUUUUGGCUUUCUUGCCGCGUAUUUUUGGUACAUCUGCCCCCUCCCUCUCUCUCGUUGUACCCCCCCCCCCCCACCACCACAUUUGCUUGCUCUCCGUCAACACGCGAUAAAAGUGUAUCGUCGUAGUGUUGUUGGCGCUGUCACCUCAGCUCGUCCGAUCGCCACUCCCUCCCGUGCGCAUUCGCUUAUUCUUUUUUGUUGUGCUCACACUCUUUGUUCGCUCUCUAUCUCUUGACCCUCUUUCCUUUUCACCCACAACGGAUGUGUGCACGUCUGUGCGCGUGAGUGCGUCACCGUCUUUUCCCACGCCUCCUCUGUUUCUCCUUUUCUUCCCGUCUUCGCUUUCUUGUCGCUCGGGUGCUGGUCUGUUUCAUCCUCCAGCCGCGGCGUGUUUUCUUGUUUUCGUUUUUGUGGUGUUGUUUCUUCACGUGCUUGCGUGGUCGCUUUCUUUGGUGCCCCACCGCGCCACGCACACACCCUUCCUCUUUUUUUGUUCUGUCUCUCUUGCACUUCCUCUUCUUUAUCUGCGUUGUGUUUUCUUCAUCUACAUCUUCCUCUUCGCCUUGUAGUCACGCGCAUCGACGGUGAAGCGCGGCAGGUGGGAGCGAGUGAGCGGGAGAACAAGGAGUGCACCGCGAACGGCAACAGCCUUCGCGAGAGGACAAGAGACAGCAGAGUGGUGCGCUUCGAAGUGGUCGAAGCGCGCUACAUCGAUUUCCUCGCGGCUCCUUCAUUUUCUCUCUCGCUCUCUUUCCUCGUGCGGUGUAGCGCGGUAGUGUAUUAAGCGAAUCAAGUAUCCAGCUCUUCUCACCCGUGCCCCUUUUCUGUUCUUUUUCACAGACACACACACACACACACACUCCCUUUCUUUCUUUUUCGUGUUGCUCUUGUUUUGCUUUUAGGAGCCUCUCAUCAUCUUCUCUUGUACCUCAUCUACCUUCUUUUCACUCGUUGGCCGAAGCCGCGCUACCGCUGUCCCCUCUUCUCCCUCUGCCGUUUGUGCCUCUUUCAGCUCAUCACUCUUGUCGUCAUCUGUCCUGCUUCUUCGCGUUGAUCUCUCUUUUUUUGCCCCCCCCCCCCUCCUGCUGUCGUUCUCGCCGUGCAUGUGCGCGUGUGCGUGCUGUGGAUUGUUGGAUAUCUUCUCUCUUCUCCCUCUCCAGUAGCCUGUAGGAUUUGCAGCGGUGCAUUGCGCGCUGCGGCUUUUGCUUCUCGAGAGGCCGUCGAUCGCCGGCAGCAGCAGCCACAGCGGAUAGGAUAGCACAGAACAAGGACAAGCACUCACACGCUUAGCACUAUUAUUAUCUCGGUGCGUGUGGGCUGACACACACACACACACACACACACACAGACAGACACACACAGACAUCCCUUUCGUUUCUUUCUCUUCCGCGUCUCGUUUUGAGUUCUUGUGCUCCCUCACCGUCGCUCAUCAGAUUCUUUUAGACAUCUGGCCAGCCGCUGUGCCACUGCCGAGAAGCGCGAACACUUUCCUCGCGUUUCACCCACCCUCCUUCUUCUCCUACCCCGUACGUGUCUCGACCACCCGGAGAAAACGAGAAGAAAGAAAAAACAUACACACACACACACAAACAUAGUGGACUUCAGCGCUUUUUUUCCGUGUGGUCGUGUGCUCCUUUUUGUGCUCUCUCUCUGUUUCCCUACUGCGAUACCCACGAGGCAUACCUAUCCACAGUCCAGGCGCAUCGCCGAUAAGUGCGCUUGCAUAUUUUCAUUGUAUUCGAGGCCUCUUGCACUCCUCUUCUCGUUUAUAUCUGUCACAGUUUCCGUUUGAAAGGCCUCUUUCUUCGCUUGGAUUGCCCUUCUCAGCUUCAUCAGCAUUGCGCACCAACUGAGACGCACACGCACACGCACACGAAAAAAAAAAAACCACGCUCACGCGUACCCGGAAAGGAGACGCGGCACCCAAGGCUCGCCUCUCCGUCCUCCAACCCUUUUUUUUUCCUCCACAGCGUGCUCGCAGCGGAACAGACCAGAGCAGUGUGUGUGUGUGUGUGGAUACUCUCCUUCACAGGAUUCACUAGUUUUUUUUGUUCCCUUUUUGUUGUUGUGCAGGGGUUUCGUUGGUUUUCCGAUCUACUCGUUUCCUUCUUGUUUGGAUACUCGAUUCCGCUAGCAGUUGCCCCUCCCUACCCCCUCCUCCCUCCACACAAACAACAGCAACAGCACGAAAAAAAAAGUCGGCUGCUGCUGCUGCUUUUUUCUUUAUUAUUAUUUUUUUCUUGAAUUGACUGCGUCUUGAGUGCGGCGUUUUUCUCGGCGGAGACCACGCUGUCUCAUUUUCCAGCCUCCUCCAGUUUUCCAUUCGGCUGCGCUACGCAUAGCUCUGAGCUUGUGUUUGUCUUUCCCUUUUACGGUGAUCUAUCACUGUAUCGUGGACUGGCGCUUGGUGCUCCUCUGCCUUUCUCUUUCUGUGCUGUUCCUUCUUUCUCACUCUUUUGCUCACCGUCUCUUGAACUCUCCUUCUCACAGUGGUUUGGAUCAUACAGUCCGUCAAACGGAGGCGCAACACUCACAAGGCUAGCAGGCAGAAAAAAAGAGAGGUGAGCUCAAAUCACCACACGUCGCUGCGCUUGGCAAGGGGCGCGCAGUUGUUCCUUUUUGGCGUGCCGACCGCCUUUGCAUUUUUCUCAGGUGCUUUAUCCUUUCUCCCGCCCAUCUCUUGCCCCCCUCCCCCCAAACUUCUUUUUUUUUGUGGGCUGUCAUUGUCGUGAUUCACUUCCUUUGUGCGCUUCCGUUGCUUACAGCCUUCUCGUGUGCAUCCUUGCUUUCCCCCUGACCCGUCGGCAGAACGUUUUUUCUUGUGCUGCUCUUCGCCAUUUAGAACCUCUGUCUACUUCGGCUGCCUGCGUGGCACUCUUCAUCGCUCCUUCGUGACCUCGGAAGAGAGGAACGCAGCUGUCCCCCGUUUUUCCUCCUCCAAAAAAAAACGAAAAGAAGACAGAAGAAGCAGACAGACAAGUAGAAGGCCACAUCGCGUUGCGAAAUACAGCCGAGCAAGCACAUCUAGGGACCGUUGCAGGUUUGUUUUCAUCUCUACCUUCGCCGUUGCGUCCUCGGAUCGCUCCUCGUCUCUUGUUCUCCGACAUCAUCUCUCUCCCUUCUGGACCUUUGCGGUGAUAUCUUUUUUUUCUUAGUUUCUUGCUUUCUCCGUUUCUCUCUCUUCCUUCGUCCUUCUCGCGUGGCAGCGGAGGCGCAGGUGUUGCAGGCGCUCUCUUCGUUCUUUUCCUCUCUUCUUCCUCGGUUUUUUUCCCACACACACUUCCCUACAUACACGUUUUUCCUGCUUCUUUUUUUUUCGCUUGUGUGUGUGUCGUUGCUGUUGUUGUCACCAGCCGACCCCUCCUUCCAUCAGGCUAGCUAUAUCUUUAGCUAUCUAUUUCCUCUCCCCCUCUCCCCACACAACCUUCCCUUGGUUUGCUGCGUUGCUGCGUUUUUGUUUUGUUGUUCUUCACACAUACCCACUCACACAUACACAUAUCCCCCCACCCCACGUCCACACACAUAUAUAUCUUAGCUGCAUAGAGUUACCCCUCGCUUCCUUUGAUUGAUUGUUUUUUUUUUUCAAAUUUCUUUAGGUGGUUUGCUUUUUUUUUUCAUGCGCUUUUUUUUUCCGGCUCCUCCGCCUCUUCGCUCAUAAUACGCUCAUCAUUAGUAGAUCGUCAGCGGUCCGUUCUUUGUUGUGUUGUUGCAGUUCGAUCAUCUGCGUGUUGGCUUGGCCCCCUUCUUUGUUGGUUUCUCGAUUUCGUGCUCGUGUCUCUCUUUCUGUGUUUAUUUAUUGUUUGUUUCGUGGUUUCUUCAGUUGUGGUGUGUGUGUGGUGUGUGUGUAUGCCAUAGACACCUACUCUCCUCAGAUUCCCGCUACUUCCCUUCCUCUCUCUAUCCCACAUCCCUCCACUGCACCAAACACGCAGCCGUAGCGGCCGCGUCUUUUUAUCCGUAGCGGAAAGCACAAAAACGUGCAUCGGCACCAGGGAAACUCUCGGAGCCGCGUCGUCGCGUAUACCAUCGUGGCGCCUCUCCCUUCCACUGCGUUUUCGCACUCUCUCCCUCUCUGUGAGUCGUUUGAUCUUGUGCAAGGCCUGGCGUGCCUUUUCGCUGUGGUGUUUCCCUUUCUCCAGGCUCUUGCUGUAGUCUCUCCGUCUGUGAGGUGGUUCUCGCACGUUUGGGAGCGUGUGGCUUUGUGUCGUGGUCUCUGUCUCUACACUGCGCGCUAGGUUUCUCGCGACACUCUUUCCCUCUGCCCGAAGUAGAUAGUACACAUACGGCGGCCAUUGAGCUCUGACUUGUCGUGGCGCUCUCUUCUCGGUCGAUCAUCCCGGUUUUUUUUUUUGGCGUCUUCGGUUCUUUUUUUAGGAGAGAGACAGGAAAAAAAAAGAACAGCAAACCCACGCUCGCUCGAUACUUGCUUGUGCAUUGACGCCUUUUCCCUCCUGUGACCAUCACCGACUCCUUUCACUUGAUCAGUCGUGUUUUCACCACACCCCGCAUCGUCACGACAUCAUACGCGCGUGUGCGUGCGCUCUCGUCUUGCUUCAACGAGCGAGCGUGAGUGCUCCCUCUCCUUCUGCAGGGCUUCGUUUUGGUUUAUUCUGCGUUUCGCUUGCUGUUGCUGCCGCUGUUGUUACCGCCUUCCCUUCCGUAUCCCUGUCAUAUCGUUGCUUUUCUUUUCUCUGGCGCUCGCACUCCCUUUUCGUUGUUGUUCUGUGAAGAGGGAGGCUGCGUUGUUGUGCUUGUGCUGUCACUUCUCUUCCCCUCUUCUCCUUCCCACAUUGUACAUCUUCGCCCUUCCUUCUCCGACCUCUCCUCAG